AACGCGAAGAACCUUACCCGGCCUUGACAUCUAUGGAAUUCCUCAGAGAUGAGGAAGUGCCUUCGGGAACCAUAAGACAGGUGCUGCAUGGCUGUCGUCAGCUCGUGUCGUGAGAUGUUGGGUUAAGUCCCGCAACGAGCGCAACCCUUGUCCUUAGUUGCCAUCAUUAAGUUGGGAACUCUAAGGAGACCGCCGGUGACAAACCGGAGGAAGGUGGGGAUGACGUCAAGUCAUCAUGGCCUUUAUGGCCGGGGCUACACACGUGCUACAAUGGCAGGUACAGAGGGAAGCCAACUCGCGAGAGGGAGCCAAUCCCAGAAAGCCUGUCGUAGUCCGGAUCGGAGUCUGCAACUCGACUCUGUGAAGUCGGAAUCGCUAGUAAUCGCAGAUCAGCAUUGCUGCGGUGAAUACGUUCCCGGGCCUUGUACACACCGCUAGUC
rnacentral:rRNA from 1 species